rnacentral:pre_miRNA from 15 species
AACUCUUCUCUACCUGACUUUCUUCAUAGGUAGAUAAUAUUAUAAUAUAAUAUCUAGAGGAUAAUAAUAUCUACCUUUCAAAGUUGUUAUGAGGCUC